rnacentral:rRNA from 1 species
CCUUUGGAGAGGGAUAACCACUGGAAACGGUGAUUAAUACCUCGUAUGCUGAGGAGUGAAAGGUCGAAAGACCGCCAGGGGAUGGGCUUGCGUCUGAUUAGCUAGUUGGUGGGGUAAAUGCCUACCAAGGCGAUGAUCAGUAGCUGGUCUGAGAGGACAAUCAGCCACACUGGGACUGAGACACGGCCCAGACUCCUACGGGAGGCAGCAGUGAGGAAUUUUCCGCAAUGGGCUAACGCCUGACGGAGCAAUGCCGCGUGGAGGAGGAAGGCCUGUGGGUCGUAAACUCCUUUUCUCAGAGAAGAAGAUCUGACGGUAUCUGAGGAAUAAGCAUCGGCUAACUCUGUGCCAGCAGCCGCGGUAAUACAGGGGAUGCAAGCGUUAUCCGGAAUUAUUGGGCGUAAAGCGUCCUGAGGUGGCUUACCCAGUCGACUGUGAAAGCUCAAGGCUCAACCUUGAAACGGCAGUCGAAACUUGUAAGCUUGAGUACGGUAGAGGCAGAGGGAAUUCCCGGAGGAGAGGUGAAAUUCGUAGAUAUCGGGAGGAAGGCCAAAGGCGAAAGCACUCUGCUGGGCCGAUUACUGACACUGACAGACGAAAGCUAGGGGAGCG